AUGGAGACCAGACCAUGGCAGCUCCGGCUUCUUGCCCUUGUCACCACCACCACCACGGCCCUUCUCUUGAACCCAUCCACUUCCAUUUCCAGCUCCACCAGCACCGUCGACGACCUCCCGGCCCUCCUAUCGUUCAAAUCUCUCAUCACCAAGGAUCCCUUGGGCGCACUCUCCUCAUGGGCCAUCAACAGCACCUCCAAUGGCAGUACUCAUGGCUUCUGCAGCUGGACCGGCGUGGAGUGCAGCAGUGCUCACCCGGGACAUGUUGCGGCGCUUCGCCUACAAGGUCUUGGCCUCUCCGGGGCCAUUUCACCAUUUCUUGGGAACCUCUCCCGUCUCCGUGCACUCGAUUUGUCCGACAACAAACUUGAAGGUCAGAUCCCUCCUAGCCUUGGCAACUGCUUUGCACUACGCAGGCUCAACCUGAGCGUCAACUCCCUGUCCGGUCCCAUCCCUCCCGCCAUGGGAAACCUGUCAAAGCUUGUUGUUCUGGCUAUUGGCAGCAACAAUAUCUCGGGUACCAUUCCUCCUUCUUUUGCAGAUCUUGCAACAGUCACCGUCUUCAGUAUAGUAAAGAACCACGUGCAUGGGCAAAUACCACCAUGGCUCGGCAAUUUGACAGCACUGAAUGAUUUGAACAUGGGUAGGAAUAUUAUGAGCGGACAUGUUCCACCAGCUUUGUCUAAGCUCAUCAACCUUCGAGUCCUGACUGUAGCAAUCAAUAACCUGCAAGGUUUGAUCCCUCCAGUGUUAUUUAAUAUGUCGUCACUUGAAUACCUCAAUUUUGGGUCAAACCAACUGUCAGGCUCUCUACCACAAGAUAUUGGCUUUAGACUUUCUAACCUGAAAAAGUUCAGUGUAUUCUACAACAAAUUUGAAGGCCAGAUUCCUGCCUCCUUGUCAAACAUAUCUUCUCUUGAACAUCUCUCUCUCCAUGGGAAUAGAUUUCGUGGCCGAAUCCCAUCAAAUAUUGGCCAAAGUGGACGUUUGACUGUAUUUGAAGUAGGAAAUAAUGAGCUGCAGGCUACAGAGUCAAGAGAUUGGGAUUUUCUGACCUCCUUGGCUAACUGCAGCAGCCUAUCUCUUGUAAAUCUUCAACUGAAUAACCUUUCAGGGAUUUUGCCAAAUAGCAUUGGUAAUCUCUCGCAAAAACUUGAAGGACUUCGAGCUGGAGGAAACCAAAUUGCUGGGCAUAUACCUACAGGAAUAGGAAGAUAUUACAAGCUUGCAAUACUUGAGUUUGCAGAUAAUUGCUUCACAGGAACCAUACCUUCAGAUAUUGGAAAGCUAUCCAACCUCAAAGAACUAUCUCUAUUUCAGAAUAGAUACUAUGGGGAGAUUCCUUCGUCAAUAGGCAACCUAUCACAACUAAAUCUGCUAUCUCUUUCAACCAACAAUUUGGAGGGUAGCAUUCCAGCUACUUUUGGCAACCUUACUGAGUUAAUCUCCCUGGACCUUUCCAGUAACCUCUUGAGUGGGCAAAUCCCAGAAGAAGUUAUGAGCAUCUCCACCCUGGCUCUAUCUCUCAAUCUCUCAAACAAUUUAUUAGAUGGGCCUAUUUCUCCACAUGUUGGGCAGCUAGUCAAUCUUGCAAUAAUGGAUCUCUCAUCAAACAAGUUAUCAGGUGCAAUCCCAAAUACCCUUGGUAGUUGUGUAGCAUUGCAAUUCCUACACUUAAAAGGGAAUCUCUUGCAUGGACAAAUUCCAAAAGAACUCAUGGCAUUAAGAGGGCUAGAAGAGCUGGAUCUCUCUAAUAAUAAUUUAUCAGGACCUGUCCCUGAAUUUCUCGAGAGCUUCCAGCUUCUAAAGAAUCUAAACCUUUCAUUCAACCACCUAUCAGGUCUGGUGCCAGAUAAGGGGAUCUUCUCAAAUGCAAGUGCUGUAUCUCUCACAAGUAAUGACAUGCUAUGUGGUGGCCCUGUGUUCUUUCAUUUCCCUAGAUGCCCAUACCCAGCGCCUGAUAAACCUGCACGUCACAAACUGAUUCGCAUCUUGGUGUUUACUGUGGCGGGAGCAUUCAUCCUUCUCUGUGUCAGCAUUGCUAUACGCUGUUACAUUAGGAAAUCAAGAGGUGAUGCCCGCCAAGGUCAGGAAAACAGCCCUGAGAUGUUUCAGAGGAUCUCAUAUGCUGAGUUGCAUUUGGCUACAGAUUCAUUCUCUGUGGAGAAUUUGGUUGGCCAUGGAAGCUUCGGCAGUGUAUAUAAAGGGACUUUUGGUUCUGGUGCAAAUUUGAUUACUGCGGCAGUGAAGGUACUUGACGUCCAACGACAAGGAGCCACAAGGAGCUUCAUAUCUGAGUGCAAUGCUCUCAAAAGGAUUCGACAUCGCAAACUAGUCAAGGUGAUCACAGUGUGUGAUAGCUUGGACAAUAGUGGCAGCCAAUUCAAGGCACUUGUGCUAGAGUUCAUUUCCAAUGGAAGCUUGGAUAAAUGGUUACACCCGAGCACAGAAGACGAGUUCCGGACACCAAACCUUAUGCAGAGGCUAAACAUUGCUCUUGAUGUGGCGGAGGCACUGGAAUAUCUCCAUCACCAUAUUGAUCCUCCAAUUGUUCACUGUGAUGUUAAACCAAGUAAUAUUCUUCUUGAUGAUGACAUGGUUGCACAUCUUGGUGACUUUGGACUAGCAAAGAUAAUUAAAGCAGAAGAAAGCAGGCAAUCACUCGCCGAUCAAAGUUGCUCGGCUGGAAUCAAAGGCACAAUUGGGUACCUUGCACCAGAGUAUGGCACCGGGACUGAAAUAUCUGUGGAAGGCGACGUGUACAGCUAUGGUGUGCUAUUGUUGGAGAUGCUUACUGGGAGGAGGCCAACUGACCCAUUUUUCAAUGAUACUACAAAUCUACCAAAGUACGUUGAGAUGGCCUGUCCUGGUAAUCUGUUGGAAAUAAUGGACGUCAAUAUAAGAUGCAACCAAGAGCCUCAAGCGGCUUUAGAAUUGUUCGCUGCUCCAGUUUCAAGACUUGGUCUAGCUUGCUGCAGGGGCUCUGCAAGACAGCGCAUAAAGAUGGGCGAUGUGGUAAAAGAAUUGGGUGUGAUAAAACGGCUAAUCAUGGCGAGCCAGAAUUCUGCGUCUUGGUCCACAGUGAAGUAA
rnacentral:rRNA from 1 species